rnacentral:lncRNA from 1 species
CCAGGAUGCACCGGGCUCUAAUGUCCACCCGUCCCAGCAAAUCCAGGAGAAAAGGCCUCUAUCUAGUCAUUUAAGGCAACCACCACAGGAGUGAAGAUGAGGAUGUAGCCUCUCCUGAAGCCAGACGUGCCUGGAUCCUCUAUGCCAGCUCCCAGGAGAGUAGAACGCAGAAGGUUGUCAUGGAGCUGAUGUCACCCUGUCAUAUGCCCAGCCUCUGCAGCUCUCCCCGCAAGACAGUGGUCCUCUGGAGGGUCUAGAGCAUCUUAAGAGUAUAGCACCAGCAUCGUCUUGGCUUCUACCGAGAGCCUAGUGGAAGAAGAGCACAGAGGGAUGUACAGACAGAAGAGGAGACCCAAGGCCUAAAACAUCUAACUUAUUCUUACAAGGUAGACAUUAAUCUAUUCUGGAUCUUUCUCCUACCACCCUAACCCCACUAGACUCCAGCUCCCAACA